rnacentral:tRNA from 2 species
GCCGGAGUGGCGGAACAGGUAGACGCGCCAGACUCAAAAUCUGGUGGGGGUGACCUCGUGUCGGUUCGAUUCCGACCUCCGGUA